rnacentral:rRNA from 1 species
AGUCACUGACAUUAGACUACCCCCGUAGUCCCAGCCGUAAACUAUGCGCGUUAGGUGUACUGGUGACCACGAGUCGACCGGGUGCCGAAGGGAAACCGUGAAACGUGCCGCCGUGGGAAGUACGGUCGCAAGGCUAGAAACUUAAAGGAAUUGGCGGGGAGCACCACAACGGGUGGAGCCUGCGGUUUAAUUGGACUCAACGCCGGAAAUCUCACCGGAUAGGACAGACAUAUGAUAGUCGGGCUGAAGACUCUACUUGAUGAUCUG